CCCCUCAAGUUCUUGCUGACUAUGAGAAGCCCCCAAUUUACAAGCCACCUGUUUACACACCGCCAGUUUAUAAGCCCCCAGUUGAAAAACCACCAGUGUACAAACCUCCAGUUUACAAGCCUCCAGUUGAAAAACCACCUGUUUAUAAGCCUCCAGUUUAUAAGCCACCCAUUUACAAGCCUCCAGUGUAUAAACCUCCAGUUGAAAAACCACCGGUUUACAAGCCUCCAGUUUAUAAACCACCUGUUUACAAGCCUCCAGUGUAUAAACCCCCAAUUGAAAAACCACCCGUUUAUAAGCCACCAGUUUACAAGCCACCAGUGUACAAGCCUCCAGUGUAUAAGCCACCAGUUUACAAGCCACCAGUGUACAAGCCACCAGUUGAGAAGCCACCAGUAUACAAACCACCCGUUUAUAAGCCACCAGUUUACAAGCCACCAGUGUACAAGCCACCAGUUGAGAAGCCACCAGUGUACAAGCCUCCAGUGUACAAGCCACCAGUAUACAAACCACCAGUUUAUAAGCCUCCAGUUGAGAAACCUCCUAUUUACAAGCCACCAGUUUACAAGCCUCCUAUAGAGAAGCCACCAGUGUACAAGCCACCAGUGUACAAACCACCAGUGUACAAACCACCGGUGUACAAGCCCCCUGUUAAGAAACCUCCUAUUUACAAAC
rnacentral:lncRNA from 1 species